rnacentral:rRNA from 1 species
UAGGGAAUCUUCCACAAUGGGCGCAAGCCUGAUGGAGCAACACCGCGUGAGUGAAGAAGGGUUUCGGCUCGUAAAGCUCUGUUGUUAAAGAAGAACACGUAUGAGAGUAACUGUUCAUACGUUGACGGUAUUUAACCAGAAAGUCACGGCUAACUACCUGCCAC